AGCACGCCGCGUGAGUGAUGAAGGUUUUCGGAUCGUAAAGCUCUGUUGUUAGGGAAGAACAAGUACCGUUCGAAUAGGGCGGUACCUUGACGGUACCUAACCAGAAAGCCACGGCUAACUACGUGCCAGCAGCCGCGGUAAUACGUAGGUGGCAAGCGUUGUCCGGAAUUAUUGGGCGUAAAGGGCUCGCAGGCGGUUUCUUAAGUCUGAUGUGAAAGCCCCCGGCUCAACCGGGGAGGGUCAUUGGAAACUGGGGAACUUGAGUGCAGAAGAGGAGAGUGGAAUUCCACGUGUAGCGGUGAAAUGCGUAGAGAUGUGGAGGAACACCAGUGGCGAAGGCGACUCUCUGGUCUGUAACUGACGCUGAGGAGCGAAAGCGUGGGGAGCGAACAGGAUUAGAUACCCUGGUAGUCCACGCCGUAACGAUGAGUGCUAAGUGUUAGGGGGUUUCCGCCCCUUAGUGCUGCAGCUAACGCAUUAAGCACUCCGCCUGGGGAGUACGGUCGCAAGACUGAAACUCAAGGAAUUGACGGGGGCCCGCACAAGCGGUGGAGCAUGUGGUUUAAUUCGAAGCAACGCGAAGAACCUUACCAGGUCUUGACAUCCUCUGACAAUCCUAGAGAUAGGACGUCCCCUUCGGGGGCAGAGUGACAGGUGCUGCAUGC
rnacentral:rRNA from 1 species